GUGCAUAAAAAAAUUCAAAGGCUGCCGAUGCAGGCCGAGCGAAGCCUGAUCUGUAUCGCUACGAAAUCAGCAGUUGUAUUUGCUCACGCUAGAAGCUGCAGAUGUCCACUGUGAACUUUUCUUGCAUGCCAAGCUGCACAGCGCAAGGCAUUCAGCCAGCGUACUAACCAUGGCUACCAUCAACUUCGACACCGACGCGGCUACAAAUGCUUUGACUGGUCGCACCUAUCAUCGGGCUUCAGGUCUUCACGAAAAAAGUGCAUACUACGACCUCCACCUCCUGGUACGCCAGCAUUGACCAGCGGCCCAACUCGUCAUGAUUGUUCUCACUUUGACUUUCCUGCUUUACGUCGUCCUGCCGUUCCUUAGGAAAGCCUUUUCCAGGCUGUUCAGGAAAGCAAAAACAUCGGCUACAAAUGAAAGGCCAACCUAAUUAUGCAAUCAGAAUUGCAGCAUUUACUACAUCUACUGGCAACACUUGUACAGACUGUGGAUUAUAAGUUUGCCAGAUGACGACAAAGUAGAGUCAAGCUGUUCACUGCUAGACAUGUUUUCCACAAUGUACCAAUAAAGAAAGAUCUGCAAAAGCA